rnacentral:pre_miRNA from 1 species
AGCUUUCUGUAUCCGUGCUGAGAUUUCGUCAGCGAUCAACCCACUGGUGCAACUCCCCAAAAUACGUGAAGUG